rnacentral:rRNA from 1 species
UACGUAGGGGGCAAGCGUUGUCCGGAUUUACUGGGCGUAAAGCGCGCGUAGGCGGAACUUCAAGUCCGGUCUGAAAGCCUCCGGCUCAACCGGGGAGGGUGGCUGGAAACUGGGGUUCUUGAGGGCGAGAGAGGAGGGUGGAAUUCCUGGUGUAGCGGUGAAAUGCGUAGAGAUCAGGAGGAACACCCGGGGCGAAGGCGGCCCUCUGGCUCGACCCUGACGCUGAGGCGCGAAAGCGUGGGGAGCGAACGGG